AGCUGCAACUCCCCCUUAGGAGGCUCUGGAUGCUCGGCCGCCAUCUUAGCCGCGGAAGGCGCGCGACGAACCCGGAAGCUCGGACCAGCCUCCGGGCCCACUUCCCGGAACUUCCGGCAUGGAUGAAUGAGCUGAAAGGAGAUCGGAGACGGGAGCGAAGCCGGCCCUCCGGGCUGAGAUCCAGCUGCCGACCUGGGGGAAGGGCCACACUAAAGCCCCUUUUUUCACCUUCCUGGCCGGCUCAGAUGUCAUCUACGUUAAGCUGUCUCCCGCCUUUCCUGCCCUGGAGCGGCCAAACCUACACCAUUUGUUUUGAAAUCUUUCUUGCCCCUUCUCUGCACUCACCAAGACAUGAGUUUUUACUGUCUCACAGUACCUGGCGUUAGAAGUGCUCAAUAAAUUAUUACUGAAAGAAAAAAAAAAAAA